rnacentral:rRNA from 1 species
UGGGGAAUAUUGCACAAUGGGCGCAAGCCUGAUGCAGCCAUGCCGCGUGUGUGAAGAAGGCCUUCGGGUUGUAAAGCACUUUCAGCGAGGAGGAAGGUGGUGAACUUAAUACGUUCAUCAAUUGACGUUACUCGCAGAAGAAGCACCGGCUAACUCCGUGCCAGCAGCCGCGGUAAUACGGAGGGUGCAAGCGUUAAUCGGAAUUACUGGGCGUAAAGCGCACGCAGGCGGUUUGUUAAGUCAGAUGUGAAAUCCCCGGGCUCAACCUGGGAACUGCAUUUGAAACUGGCAAGCUAGAGUCUCGUAGAGGGGGGUAGAAUUCCAGGUGUAGCGGUGAAAUGCGUAGAGAUCUGGAGGAAUACCGGUGGCGAAGGCGGCCCCCUGGACGAAGACUGACGCUCAGGUGCGAAAGCGUGGGGCAGCAAACAGGAUUAGAUACCCUGGUAGUCCACGCUGUAAACGAUGUCGAUUUUGGAGGUUGUGCCCUUGAGGCGUGGCUUCCGGAGCUAACGCGUUAAAUCGACCGCCUGGGGAGUACGGCCGCAAGGUUAAAACUCAAAGGAAUUG